CAGGAAAUAGUUUAAGUAAAAUUUUAAUUUUGGAGAUUAAAGAUAGACGAAUUGUUCUUUUUCUGA
rnacentral:tRNA from 2 species